AGGACUGGGAUAACUCUGGGAAACUGGGGAUAAUACUGGAUAUUAGGCUAUGCCUGGAAUGGUUUGCCUUUGAAAUGUUUUUUUUCGCCUAAGGAUAGGUCUGCGGCUGAUUAGGUCGUUGGUGGGGUAAUGGCCCACCAAGCCGAUGAUCGGUACGGGUUGUGAGAGCAAGGGCCCGGAGAUGGAACCUGAGACAAGGUUCCAGACCCUACGGGGUGCAGCAGGCGCGAAACCUCCGCAAUGUACGAAAGUGCGACGGGGGGAUCCCAAGUGUUAUGCUUUUUUGUAUGACUUUUCAUUAGUGUAAAAAGCUUUUAGAAUAAGAGCUGGGCAAGACCGGUGCCAGCCGCCGCGGUAACACCGGCAGCUCGAGUGGUAGCUGUUUUUAUUGGGCCUAAAGCGUUCGUAGCCGGUUUGAUAAGUCUUUGGUGAAAGCUUGUAGCUUAACUAUAAGAAUUGCUGGAGAUACUAUUAGACUUGAAGUCGGGAGAGGUUAGAGGUACUACCGGGGUAGGGGUGAAAUCCUACAAUCCUGGGAGGACCACCUGUGGCGAAGGCGUCUAACUGGAACGAUCUUGACGGUGAGUAACGAAAGCCAGGGGCGCGAACCGGAUUAGAUACCCGGGUAGUCCUGGCCGUAAACGAUGUGGACUUGGUGUUGGAAUGGCUUUGAGUUGUUCCGGUGCCGAAGGGAAGCUGUUAAGUCCACCGCCUGGGAAGUACGGUCGCAAGACUGAAACUUAA
rnacentral:rRNA from 1 species